AUCUUUUUUCGUCACUUUUAUCUGUGUCCAAUCUUGUAUUUACUGUUUUAUUAUAACAAAAUUGUAUACUUUCUCUAAUUACAUAUGUCUAUUUAAGUAAUUUUAUUUGUUUUGUUUUGGACUGUUGUGUGUUUUUUUUUGCAAACUUUUUCCUCAGCCCGUAUCUUUUCUCUCCCCACAUUACCCGUCAUUUUCCUCUCUCUCUCUCUCCCUCUCCUCCGUAUAUUAUUACCUCAAUAUGCUAUGGAAUGGGCAUUGGCUUCUUCUGUUCUGGGAGGCGAUUGAAGACGACCUCUUCAUGCCACUAAGGCUGCUCUAACGUCAUGGGUGGUGGGUUAUUCGCUAUAACUUGUUUGCAGUUUGGGUAGCCAUAACUUAAAUUGAAGGUUGGGUAUUUGUGAAUUAUCAUAAAGAAUUGUCGUUAUAUUUUUUUAGUUAAUGUGUAGGUUGAAAAAUAUUUAUUGUGGGCUAUUCUAACUUUGUUUUAGAACUAUUGAUUAUAUUCUGAAGGGCCCCAUGUUCGACAAUUCUAAGUGCAAAUUGUUUAAGGAAAUGAAAUUGUUUCCAUAAUAAUUUGGUUGAGCUGUGGUCAUUGUUGGACUUUAUUCUGCCUGGUACUUUCUCAUCCCAUGAAGAAUUUGAAUCAUUGUUAGCAUGCUUAUAAAUUAUUAUUUGUUUUAAAGUUCGCCUUAAUAUGAUAUUGAGUCAAUAGAAGUAAGAUUCCCAUGCAACACCAAUAUGUAUUGUGGAUAUGAGUUACGCAUGUAUAGACUUUUGCUGGUUGAGAUCUGUAUUGCUAGGUAGCAGGUUAUGGUGGUGUGACGCUUUCUGCAUUGACCAAGAGUGUUUACUUAAUAAAAACCUCAUCCUUAGGUUUCAUCUAUUCUGGAAAAUUCAAAGGUCAGGAAGGGCAGGAAGAGUAAAGAAGGGCUGAAGUAUGAAUUAUCAUAUUACUAUUGUUACAAGUGUCUUGGGUUUUAUUACACACUUGUCCUGCAUAUGUAAUAAUUAGUACUGGCAAUACAAGUAUCUGGGUGCGGGCUUUUGAUCUUGAGGCUAUGACAGAGUUUCAGCAUAAUUUUUCAGGAUCAUCUGUUCAAUAUGACAUAAGAAAGUUAUUUAUCUAAAGAGAGGCAAAUUGGUUGUAAUAAAUAUGGAAAGCUUAACAAUUUGGUUGUUCAACUUUGGAAGAACUGCAACCAUCUUCACCUUAUAAAGGCAGUAUUUGAUGGCUCACGCAUAUUUUUUUGGUGUACUCUUGGCAGACUUGUACCUACCCAUUGAGCAGAUAGUUGAGCAGUGUGUCGAGUUUCGUUUUUUGGAUCGACUGUUGGUCAAGCUAUUUGCUCGAAAACACAAGGUGCAUUGCAGUUUAUCUAUUUGUAUUAUUUAUUAGUUAAUGAACUAGCAUAAUCUCUUCUUCAUUUUUCUUCCUUUUUUUCUUGUCUUGAUCUUCUCUCAGUGGACUAAGAUUUUGGAUAUAAUGGAUUAUUAGUUUAGUGAAAAAGGGUUCGUUGUUUGUCGAAUUGAUGGCAGUGUGAACCUUGCUAAAAGGAGAAGGAAGGUUUGUUCCAGCUCACUCAAUUUAUGGAGAACAUGAAGUUGUUUUCAUGAAUGAUGUUUUCUUUUUAUUGUUUGAUUUUGAUGUUGGCAUGUUUCAAUUUUCUGCUCCAAUAUUCAAUAGAUUGUUUCUUCUAACCAAUUGGGAUGCAUAUAAGUUACUCUUGGUGUUGUCAAUUUAUGGAAAGCAUUUGUCUUCUUUGUUCAGUGCAACUGUUUUUGUAAUUUUACUAUCAAGAUCUACUGCAUUUUCAUUAACAAUUACCAAUAUUAUGUUCUCUAUGAGUAAACAGAUGCAAGGGUUCAAUUACCUGAUUAGCGAUUUCAGAAUUUUCCUUCAAAGCACCGAAUACUUCUGAUGUUGGAGAGAUUUGCUUUAUUGGUUUUCAUUUUCAUACAUAUAUUUAAAUUGGCGUAUCAAUUAUUUGCUUGGUGUCAUCAAAUUAGGAGAUUUGGAUGUAUUUUUCCUUAAAUCUGUUCAGAUUUCGUUCAUGCCAUUGAUUGACUAUCUUAAUUUGAUCUCUUCCUUUUUCUUGCCUA